CUUUUUGAGUGAGUCUAAUUGGUUUGAACAUUGUUGUUUGUAGUUUGUAGUUUCCUCUUAACUGAAGGCUUACUUCACUUUACUUUGAAGAAUCCUAUGCAUAUUGAUGAAGCCAGUGCGAGGGCUGUGAACUUCGAAAUGGAGAGAAAUUUGACAAAAUGACCUUAAAUCAUUCAUGGGCAGACUGUACAUAUUGGGGGCUUAGUUAGACUGUAUCUAGUUCUUGCAUCAGUAGAAACAAUCUAUGUCACUGUCUGGGCAUCACCAAGUGUUUCUCUUCAUCUAGGGAAGGCAGAAAAUGCCGAUGAGUUCAAGAACAACCAUGCUGGAGUGAGAUUGCAGCCUCCCAUUUCCAUGGAGCGAGUUUCUGAGUUGGGACAAUGGCAAAAGCAGGAAGUAAAAGCACGUGGAACGAGCUGGGAUGUCAAGAGCAUGGAUGUUGCAGUUGCUGGCUUAGGAUGGUUCUCCCUAGGUUUGAAAGGUGAAGCAGAUUUAGCGUUGUGGACAUAUGAUGGCAUUCAGAUCACAUUGCGUGAACCAUUGGUACUUGAUCGUGCAGCCUCUAUCGAAAGACCUGGAUUUUGGCUACCAAAGGCUAUAUCAGAGGCCAUCGUAACUCAUCGAAGCUUGAAGGUCAAGAAACAAGGGAAAAAUAUCCAUCAGAGGAGACAAUGCAACUUUCAUAAGUAUCCGACUAAAAGAGGCAGCUGAGUUAAUUUUCUUGUGAACAUUUCUAUUGUACAAGGUCUUGUAUGGCGACUUAAAAUGGGCAGGUUGGAUUGAAUAUGAGCGGAUUGAA